GAACGCACCGCAAGGUGAGUGGCAGACGGGUGAGUAACACGUGGGAACAUGCCCUUCGGUUCGGAAUAACUCAGGGAAACUUGAGCUAAUACCGGAUACGUCCGCGAGGAGAAAGAUUCAUCGCCGAAGGAUUGGCCCGCGUCUGAUUAGCUAGUUGGUGAGGUAACGGCUCACCAAGGCGACGAUCAGUAGCUGGUCUGAGAGGAUGAUCAGCCACAUUGGGACUGAGACACGGCCCAAACUCCUACGGGAGGCAGCAGUGGGGAAUAUUGGACAAUGGGCGAAAGCCUGAUCCAGCCAUGCCGCGUGAGUGAUGAAGGCCCUAGGGUUGUAAAGCUCUUUUACCUGGGAAGAUAAUGACGGUACCAGGAGAAUAAGCCCCGGCUAACUUCGUG
rnacentral:rRNA from 1 species